UUAAGCGACUAAGCGUACACGGUGGAUGCCCUGGCAGUCAGAGGCGAUGAAGGACGUGCUAAUCUGCGAAAAGCGUCGGUAAGGUGAUAUGAACCGUUAUAACCGGCGAUGUCCGAAUGGGGAAACCCAGUGUGAUUCGUCACACUAUCGUUAACUGAAUACAUAGGUUAACGAGGCGAACCGGGGGAACUGAAACAUCUAAGUACCCCGAGGAAAAGAAAUCAACCGAGAUUCCCCCAGUAGCGGCGAGCGAACGGGGAGCAGCCCAGAGUCUGAAUCAGCUUGUGUGUUAGUGGAACGGUCUGGAAAGUCCGACGGUACAGGGUGAUAGUCCCGUACACCAAAAUGCACAGGCUGUGAACUCGAAGAGUAGGGCGGGACACGUGGUAUCCUGUCUGAAUAUGGGGGGACCAUCCUCCAAGGCUAAAUACUCCUGACUGACCGAUAGUGAACCAGUACCGUGAGGGAAAGGCGAAAAGAACCCCGGCGAGGGGAGUGAAAAAGAACCUGAAACCGUGUACGUACAAGCAGUGGGAGCACCUUCGGGUGUGACUGCGUACCUUUUGUAUAAUGGGUCAGCGACUUAUAUUCUGUAGCAAGGUUAACCGUAUAGGGGAGCCGCAGGGAAACCGAGUCUUAACUGGGCGUUAAGUUGCAGGGUAUAGACCCGAAACCCGGUGAUCUAGCCAUGGGCAGGUUGAAGGUUGGGUAACACUAACUGGAGGACCGAACCGACUAAUGUUGAAAAAUUAGCGGAUGACUUGUGGCUGGGGGUGAAAGGCCAAUCAAACCGGGAGAUAGCUGGUUCUCCCCGAAAGCUAUUUAGGUAGCGCCUCGUGAAYUCAUCUUCGGGGGUAGAGCACUGUUUCGGCUAGGGGGUCAUCCCGACUUACCAACCCGAUGCAAACUACGAAUACCGAAGAAUGUUAUCACGGGAGACACACGGCGGGUGCUAACGUCCGUCGUGAAGAGGGAAACAACCCAGACCGCCAGCUAAGGUCCCAAAGUCAUGGUUAAGUGGGAAACGAUGUGGGAAGGCACAGACAGCCAGGAUGUUGGCUUAGAAGCAGCCAUCAUUUAAAGAAAGCGUAAUAGCUCACUGGUCGAGUCGGCCUGCGCGGAAGAUGUAACGGGGCUAAACCAUGCACCGAAGCUGCGGCAGCGACACUAUGUGUUGUUGGGUAGGGGAGCGUUCUGUAAGCCUGCGAAGGUGUGCUGUGAGGCAUGCUGGAGGUAUCAGAAGUGCGAAUGCUGACAUAAGUAACGAUAAAGCGGGUGAAAAGCCCGCUCGCCGGAAGACCAAGGGUUCCUGUCCAACGUUAAUCGGGGCAGGGUGAGUCGACCCCUAAGGCGAGGCCGAAAGGCGUAGUCGAUGGGAAACAGGUUAAUAUUCCUGUACUUGGUGUUACUGCGAAGGGGGGACGGAGAAGGCUAUGUUAGCCGGGCGACGGUUGUCCCGGUUUAAGCAUGUAGGCUGRUURUCCAGGCAAAUCCGGAUAAUCAAGGCUGAGGUGUGAUGACGAGGCACUACGGUGCUGAAGUAACAAAUGCCCUGCUUCCAGGAAAAGCCUCUAAGCAUCAGGUAACAUCAAAUCGUACCCCAAACCGACACAGGUGGUCAGGUAGAGAAUACCAAGGCGCUUGAGAGAACUCGGGUGAAGGAACUAGGCAAAAUGGUGCCGUAACUUCGGGAGAAGGCACGCUGGUGUGUAGGUGAAGUCCCUGCGGAUGGAGCUGAGACCAGUCGAAGAUACCAGCUGGCUGCAACUGUUUAUUAAAAACACAGCACUGUGCAAACACGAAAGUGGACGUAUACGGUGUGACGCCUGCCCGGUGCCGGAAGGUUAAUUGAUGGGGUUAUCCGUAAGGAGAAGCUCUUGAUCGAAGCCCCGGUAAACGGCGGCCGUAACUAUAACGGUCCUAAGGUAGCGAAAUUCCUUGUCGGGUAAGUUCCGACCUGCACGAAUGGCGUAAUGAUGGCCAGGCUGUCUCCACCCGAGACUCAGUGAAAUUGAACUCGCUGUGAAGAUGCAGUGUACCCGCGGCAAGACGGAAAGACCCCGUGAACCUUUACUAUAGCUUGACACUGAACAUUGAGCCUUGAUGUGUAGGAUAGGUGGGAGGCUUUGAAGCGUGGACGCCAGUCUGCGUGGAGCCAACCUUGAAAUACCACCCUUUAAUGUUUGAUGUUCUAACGUUGGCCCCUUACCGGGGUUGCGGACAGUGUCUGGUGGGUAGUUUGACUGGGGCGGUCUCCUCCCAAAGCGUAACGGAGGAGCACGAAGGUUAGCUAAUCCUGGUCGGACAUCAGGAGGUUAGUGCAAUGGCAUAAGCUAGCUUGACUGCGAGCGUGACGGCGCGAGCAGGUGCGAAAGCAGGUCAUAGUGAUCCGGUGGUUCUGAAUGGAAGGGCCAUCGCUCAACGGAUAAAAGGUACUCCGGGGAUAACAGGCUGAUACCGCCCAAGAGUUCAUAUCGACGGCGGUGUUUGGCACCUCGAUGUCGGCUCAUCACAUCCUGGGGCUGAAGUAGGUCCCAAGGGUAUGGCUGUUCGCCAUUUAAAGUGGUACGCGAGCUGGGUUUAGAACGUCGUGAGACAGUUCGGUCCCUAUCUGCCGUGGGCGCUGGAGAAUUGAGGGGGGCUGCUCCUAGUACGAGAGGACCGGAGUGGACGCAUCACUGGUGUUCGGGUUGUCAUGCCAAUGGCACUGCCCGGUAGCUAAAUGCGGAAGAGAUAAGUGCUGAAAGCAUCUAAGCACGAAACUUGCCCCGAGAUGAGUUCUCCCUGAGACUUUAAG
rnacentral:rRNA from 1 species